rnacentral:lncRNA from 1 species
GCUGUAGCUCCGAUUUGAACCCUAGCCUGGGAACCUCCAUAUGCCAUGAUUGCGGCCCUAAAAAGCAAAAAAAAAAAACAAAAAAAACAAACAAACAAACAAACAAAAAAAACCAAACAACAAAAAAAAAACCAACAAAAAACCCUCUUUUUACCCUUUUAUUGACACUUAACAAGACAAAAAUGAGUCAGGUUUUUUUAGUUCACUUUUCUCAUUCCCUUUCCCUCUCCAGCAUGUUUACUGUAAUUCCACAUCUUAAAAGAUUCUCAGAUGUGUUGUGCCCCAAAUACUACUUGACUGCUGUAUACAUAUGCAAUGCACACAAUUUAGGAUUCUCUCAUUUACAAUAGGAGAGUAUAUGCUAUUUUUUUAAAUAGACAAUAGGAGUAUAUGCUAUUUUUUAAAAUAAAAUUGGAGCAUGGAAUAAAAACAGUGAUCCCCACUGGUUUGUAACACAACUCUCAUCACUGGUCUGGAAAUGCUAUUUUAUUUUUUACUUUUUAAGGGUCAUACUUGCAACAUAAGGAAAUUCCCAGGCUAGGGAUCAAAUCAGAGCUGCAGCUGCCAGCCUACCCACAGCCACAGCAACACUGGAUCCUUAAUCCACUGAGCAAGGCAUCAAUUGGAUCCUAUCAAUCCUGCAUCCUCAUGGAUACUAGUUGGGUUCAUUACCACUGAGCCACAACAGGAACUCCUGGAAAUGCUAUUUUAAACAUAAAAAUGUUUUUAUGACAACCCAAGGAAACAAUUUGCAUUUACUCCAUUCAAUUUUUAAAAAAAAACCCAUUUCUUUCUCACUCACUUUUAAUAAUCUGCAAAUAAAACUCAAUAGUUAAGAAUAAAUCUACCAAUAUUUACUUCCUAUCCAAAAUUAUUUCUAACAGGACCAAUAGGGGAUCUCUAUAAUGACAAAGUCUAAAGGUAGGACUAUAAAAAUGUUGAGACCAAGACAUUAUUUACAAACAGAAUAGGUCUCUAAAAUAGCUUCUGCUUCAGCGAAUGUGAAACCAAUAAGUUAGAGUUAAAAUGGAAUAUUUUCUAGCUGGUUUUAGGCCAGUUAAAUCUAAUAAGGAUCGUAAAGAUAAGCAGCUAACUUGAAAUCAAAAUAACUAUCGGGAACAUUUUGUAUUCCAUUAAUAGGUAAUAAAAUCUAUGUACUGAAUGAAAAUAUAAAUUCUGAUUACUUAUUUAUAUAAAACUUUAGGCCCACAUAAUUAUCAGUCCAAAAAUAGCUUAAUAGCACAAUAUUUUUAAAGAAGGCUUUGAUGAAAUCCACAAAAAAAACAAUCUUUACUCAUUUGUCCCUUGGUACCAUCUUCUCAGAUGCUGUAACUAAGUUGAGGUUUUUGUUUCAGAGGGAGUUGGAAGAUAUUUCAGAUAUGCUAUAAGAAAUAUGAUAAUCUUGCAGUUUUUAAAUCAUUAAAUGAUGACCAUGAGCUUAGU